rnacentral:rRNA from 1 species
UGGGGAAUAUUGGACAAUGGAGGCAACUCUGAUCCAGCAAUUCUGUGUGUGUGAAGAAGGUUUUAGGACUGUAAAACACUUUUAGUAGGGAAGAAAGAAAUGACGGUACCUACAGAAGAAGCGACGGCUAAAUACGUGCCAGCAGCCGCGGUAAUACGUAUGGGGCGAGCGUUGUCCGGAAUUAUUGGGCGUAAAGGGUACGUAGGCGGUCUAUUAAGUCAGGUGUGAAAGCGUGAGGCUUAACCUCAUUAAGCACUUGAAACUGAUAGACUUGAGUGAAGGAGAGGAAAGUGGAAUUCCUAGUGUAGCGGUGAAAUGCGUAGAUAUUAGGAGGAAUACCGGUGGCGAAGGCGACUUUCUGGACUUUUACUGACGCUCAGGUACGAAAGCGUGGGGAGCAAACAGG